rnacentral:rRNA from 1 species
AAUAGCACAUUCGUUGACGUUAGCUGCAGAAGAAGCACCGGCUAACUCCGUGCCAGCAGCCGCGGUAAUACGGAGGGUGCGAGCGUUAAUCGGAAUUACUGGGCGUAAAGCGCAUGCAGGUGGUUUGUUAAGUCAGAUGUAGAAAGGACCCGGGGCGUCAACCUCGGAAUUGCUAUUUGAAACUGGCAGACUAGAGUACUGUAGAGGGGGUAGAAUUUCAGGUGUAGCGGUGAAAAUGCGUAGAGAUCUGAAGGAAUACCGGUGGCGAAGGCGGCCCCCUCGGACAGAUACUGACACUCAGAUGCGAAAGCGUGGGGAGCAAACAGGAUUAGAUACCCUGGUAG